rnacentral:piRNA from 1 species
UCUAGCAUCACAAGUAUUAGAGGCAA